rnacentral:rRNA from 1 species
UACGUAGGGGGCAAGCGUUGUCCGGAAUCAUUGGGCGUAAAGCGCGUGUAGGCGGUCCGGUAAGUCCGCUGUGAAAGUCGGGGGCUCAACCCUCGGAUGCCGGUGGAGUACUGUCGGGCUUGAGUACUUAAGAGGAUCGCGGAAUUCCCGGUGUAGAGGUGAAAUUCGUAGAUAUCGGGAGGAACACCAGUGGCGAAGGCGGCGAUCUGGGAAGAUACUGACGCUGGAGGUGCGAAAGCGUGGGGAGCAAACAGG